rnacentral:rRNA from 1 species
UACAGAGGGGGCAAGCGUUAUUCGGAAUUAUUGGGCGUAAAGGGCGCGUAGGCGGCUUUGCAAGUGGCGGGUGAAAUCCCUCGGCUUAACCGAGGAACUGCCUGCCAGACUGUGAGGCUUGAGACCGGGAGAGGUGAGUGGAAUUCCCAGUGUAGCGGUGAAAUGCGUAGAUAUUGGGAGGAACACCAGUGGCGAAGGCGGCUCACUGGACAAAAACUGACGCUGAGGCGCGAAAGCUAGGGGAGCAAACAGG